GUGGGGAAUAUUGGACAAUGGGCGCAAGCCUGAUCCAGCCAUGCCGCGUGAGUGAUGAAGGCCUUAGGGUUGUAAAGCUCUUUCAGUGGGGACGAUAAUGACGGUACCCACAGAAGAAGCCCCGGCUAACUUCGUGCCAGCAGCCGCGGUAAUACGAAGGGGGCUAGCGUUGUUCGGAUUUACUGGGCGUAAAGCGCACGUAGGCGGAUCGUUAAGUCGGGGGUGACAUCCUGGAGCUCAACUCCAGAACUGCCUUCGAUACUGGCGAUCUUGAGUCCGGAAGAGGUGAGUGGAACUCCGAGUGUAGAGGUGGAAUUCGUAGAUAUUAGGAAGAACACCAGUGGCGAAGGCGGCUCACUGGUCCGGUACUGACGCUGAGGUGCGAAAGCGUGGGGAGCAAACAGGAUUAGAUACCCUAGUAGUCC
rnacentral:rRNA from 1 species